ensembl:lncRNA
GUCGCUCCUCAACAUUUCCAUCUACAUCCAUCGAGAGAAACCUGUACUGUAACCUUAUACAAACCUAUGUGGGCACCUCAUCCAACCGAUUAAGGCCACCGUACCUUAACCCAGAGCCCAAAGGCAACGCUGCGUGAUGGAUCCAUCCACCAGCUUGGUUGGUCUGGACGCCCAGGGGAACAUGCUGUUCCGGGUCAUGAAGCCCGUCAUGGGCCUCUUCCAGGUGCCCUCGGAGCAGGCCAACAGCGGCGUGGACCUCCAGGGUCUGUCGGACACGUCCCUGGUGCUGACCCAGGCCCAGGGCCAGGCUCUGAUGGCCCACAGUGAGGGCAUGAUUGCCACCCCACAGCAACAGAUCCUCCGGAGCCAGAUGGAGACCCAGCUCCUCCAGGUGCAGGCCCCUGCUGCCCCGACACUGGACCAGACCCCCCAGACGGAAGAGCCUCCACAGAGCCAGUGCUCCAAUGGCAACGCCAGCGACCCCAGCGAGGUGACCCGCAUGCCCUUUGCGGAGGUGUCCUCCCUGCUGGACCCCAACAUGAAGGGCUCCAAAGCUCGAAAGUAUCUCAUCUCCUACGAGGAGAUAAAGCGCCGGCUGCAGAGCCCGGAGAAGAUGUCGCUGCGGUCGCUGGCGGCGUACACGCGUGUCAGCAGGGGUCCGGCCAGCAAGAAGACCCUGCUGGAGUCCCUCAACAUCCUGGGCCUCAAGCCCAGCACCACCACCUCCGUCUCCUCCUCCUUCUCCAAGCUCACCGAGGGAGACACGAACGCGCUGUGUGUCGACAUGAAGGACUUUGCCCAGGACUAUGUGGACUACAGCAACAUGGCCAGACAGCUCAUCCCUGAGACCAACACAGUCCAACACUGGUCCAAGAUCAUUGAGACAAAGAACCAUCUGGACGACAUGAGGAAGUGUUUCAGAGACCCGGUCAACAGUGAGGGCUUUGACAGCGUGACCCACGGCCUCGGCCUGGGAAUGUUGGACGUCGCCCUGGACAUGGUCACCAUGGCGAUCGACCAGCAGAUCCACAUCCUGUCGGGAGCCGCCGCGUCCGACCCGCCCGACUCGGGCCCGCCGACGCGGCGCAUCCGCCGGCGCAACCGCAAGCCGCACCCCGUCAACGGCGAGAACCCCCCCGGGGCGCCGGCGGGGUCAAAGGGGCGUCCAAGGUGAAGGGACGGGGGAGGGGCCGGAAGAAGGCCCGGUUGGCGGACCCCCCGGCGAUGCAGGCCGGGGAGGCGAGCGCACAGCAGGACGCGCAGAACGGGGUCCUCACGCUGGUCUCCGUGGGUUACGAGACCAUCUCCGGGGGGCUCGACUCCACCGGAUCGAUUUGAUCCCCCGCUGGACAGACGGAUGGCCUGCUGGUGAGGGGCUCUGAGGCUGCCGGAGCUGGGGGCUUCGGGUCGGGCCGGGACUGUUGACAAGGUGGCGGCGAUGUCCCGGGAGGAGCAGCCGUUCCAAAGGGAACCUCAGGGAAUGGAACAUGGACGCUGGUUUUACAGGUGUGUGUGUGUGUGUGUGUGUGUGUGUGUGUGUGUGUGUGUGCGUGUGCGUGUGUUGUGUGUCAAGAGGUGGCAGAUGAGCCAGUGUACAUGCUGCCACGUGGUAGGAGUCUUCUCUGGAGUAACUGGUUAAUACCGGUACAGUUCCUUUUUUAUAGUUUGAGGACCUUUGCCUACAGUGACUAGGUGAGAGGUGGCUUUUAGAUAUGCAGUCACCUUACAAUUUGAACUUUAUUAUGGACAAUAACGACCAGAUACAGGAGUACAAUAUUGAAUUGCAAAAUUCUCCGACAUGAUAUAAAAUCAAGUGUGUAGUCUUAGUGUAUUCUACAUACAUUGUAUAUGAACUAAUAUCAUGCGAUGGGAAGAUGCAACGUUUUUGUUUUUUUUACUGAAUCAAGGACCAAAGUGGAAAGAAUAUUGUUUAUAUUUGACAAGCAAUGUCCAAUCUGAAAGAAUUUGCAUAAUUAUUUAUUUUCUCAGUUUUCCCGAUGUAUACAUUUCCAAACGUUCUCUUUUUUUCUACUUGCACUAAAAUCCUGAAAGGGUUGUUAGUUCUGAAAUAGGUUGCUUUAGAGAUCCUAAAACAAAAUGUCCAUCAUUAACCAAAAUAAAACAAGAUUGCUCUGGCAACCACUGUCAGAUAGACUCCAUACCAAUCACAGUGUUUUGAUUCCACUGAGAGAACAGUAAGCGUCGACCCGCGUCAACGUGUCGGGACGUCUGCCACGGCCUGCCUUUGUCUCACGGCAGGUUCCCUCUGGCUUCACCACGGACGCUUCUAGAAGCUGAAAUGCAUUGUGGGAGGUUCCUGGGCGGGAUGAGUGGAGUCUACCUAGGCCUAAUCAUGACCGACCUGUAAACACACACACACACGCACACAAGGGUGGUUGAGGGGAAGGAUUUACCAAGGAUUUGCUCUGCAUUAUCCUGGUGAAAGGACAGGGAGCAGGGUGUAUUGGCAGCCUAGUUACUACUGUGAUUGUGAGUUUGUGCUUGGAAAGGUUGUAGUCGGUUGCCCUGAGGGUAUGAAACAUUCGAUAUUGUAAAGUGAGAUGGAGUGUUAAACUUAACAACCAGGCUAUGGAACAUCGAUGGGAACCGCUUUGACUGCGUUGGAUUUAGUUGAUGGUCCAUAUUUUGGUUGCCGGGGAGGAUGGGACCUUCUAGUGUGCCCAUCGCCUACACAUACACGCACUCCCACACGGACGGGCGAAACACCAGCAAGCUGCAGCCCUACAUACCCAACGGUGAGUAAAGCCAGUGUCUACUGCUGUGGCAGUGCACCGUAGUAUUCAAUACAACUCUUCUGUUGAAAUAGUUAUUGAUUCUAGGUGAGAGAGAUGCCUUACAAAGGGUCUCAAUCAAUGAGAAAACCCACAGCUACAUGAUCUGAAUUGGAUAUCCAGUAAAUGGCACAAUACUGCGGCUGAAGGAAUUGCAAGUGUUUUUCACACACCACCUCGUGAAAGGUUCUGUGUGUUCAAUCAAAGGAUACCUUAACCCCUACCUGCUCCUUUACCACUUCUAUGCCUGCAUUCUGUCUGCUCUCAUUCUGUUGCCUUUUUCUUGUUAUAAACCCUUCUUGGGUAUUACUCACUUGAAUUGACCUUUUAUAAUGAUCUCCACUGUGAUUGUAAGUGCACUGCAUUUAUAUAGGCAUUUACUAACCAGUGGCCACCCAGCCCUUUACAAUAUUGCUUUCAUCCAUUUAUACAGGCAUUUAGCAGUAAGGGAUAGGUGUCUAGCUCAGGGACACCUCGACACUCGUAGCAGACGCAGGGGCUUGAACUCACAACCUUCCUGAACCCAGUCAACACACUUUACAUCCUGAUCCACUGCCAACCCCCCAUGUGUUUCAUGUGUUUUAUCCUCGCCCUCGCCCCCACCACCCUUCCAGACAGCCUGAACAACGCCCUGGGAUCAAUCAGGGUGCUGGGACUGGACCUGCGGGAACACGAGCUGAAGCCUCACCUGAGUACCGUGAUGAGCGCCAUACAGGAGCACAGUGCGUCACCGCGUUCAUCAGCUCUAUGCAGGGCUUUGUAAACAUCCACCUCUUUCUAACAUGUCCCCCUUGGCUGCGGACAUUGUGACUCUGGCUAAUGUUCUAUUUCUGGUGAAUGACUCUUUUCAAUUGCGAAUUAAUUAGGUGAUUAUUUCGUAAUAUGCCAUGCCAUUUCGUAUUCUCACUUGUAUUCAGUGAGGGGUUGAGUGCAAGUAAGGUAGGUAAGCUGUGAAUGAAUGCAGGCUUUUGUGUCUCCACAUCCAUUUGUUAAUACCGUUAAGGCAGAUAUAGUCACUUUUUGUACAUGCGUGACAAAAUAGUGUCAGAAAUAAAGGAGAAGAUAACAGAAGAAGAUAAAAGAAGGAAAUAACAGACUUUAGGACCGCGAUCGAGUCCUUGGCAGAUGGUCAGCAUAGAAAACUAAUCCGUAUUUGUUUCUCUUCGUAGUAGGGUCAUGGUAAGGGUUACCCUUAGUGUUGUCCUACAAUUAGGGCUAAUCCACCACUGACCCAGUCUGGCCUCAGAGCAUCAACAUCACGGCAUCGCUUUGAUGGCUAUAUGACACUGCCUCGCAGGCAUUGGUAUAUUAAGUGAUAAAACACAUUUGCAAAGCACAAAGACAUAAUAUAACACAAUGCAACAGUAUAAAUGGACAACAAAUGAUUCACUUUAAAUUGUAAAUCGAUACAUGUAUUCCCCUAAAAGUCAACAAACUUGAUGAUUCGCAGAUUUAAACUCCAGCCCGGUUACUGAUGACUCAGACCUUACAAUCUAUCCGUGGUGUACAAAGUGUGACGUGUGUGUAAUUUCUCUUUUGUCCAGAGAAGGGCGCUGCAGAGCAGGUGGUGGUCAGCGGCAUCCUGCCUGUGCUGGCCCUCUCUCUGCGGAUCAGAGGACCCCUCACUCUGCCCACUGCCACGCUGGUCGCCGAGCUGGCUAAGGAGUGUGAGUCAUGGGAACCCCAAACGUGCAGCUAUAGUCAAGUCUGUUCGAUAACCGUAGCCUUAAUCAAGAUUCAGGAUUCAAGAAUUUAUUUGUCACAUGCGUAAUUUGUUGAACAAUAGUGAAAUGGGGAUUGCAUCUGCAACUCCCAGCAGUGCAAGGUUUAAUGAUAAUACUAAAGUAAAAAGAUAGAAAAAAAAGAAGGG